CUACGGGACGCUGCAGUGGGGAAUAUUGCACAAUGGGCGCAAGCCUGAUGCAGCCAUGCCGCGUGUAUGAAGAAGGCCUUCGGGUUGUAAAGUACUUUCAGCGGGGAGGAAGGGAGUAAAGUUAAUACCUUUGCUCAUUGACGCUACCCGCAGAAGAAGCACCGGCUAACUCCGUGCCAGCAGCCGCGGUAAUACGGAGGGUGCAAGGGUUAAUCGGAAUUACUGGGCGUAAAGCGCACGCAGGCGGUUUGUUAAGUCAGAUGUGAAAUCCCCGGGCUCAACCUGGGAACUGCAUCUGAUACUGGCAAGCUUGAGUCUCGUAGAGGGGGGUAGAAUUCCCGGUGUAGCGGUGAAAUGCGUAGAGAUCUGGAGGAAUACCGGUGGCGAAGGCGGCCCCCUGGACGAAGACUGACGCUCAGGUGCGAAAGCGUGGGGAGCAAACAGGAUUAGAUACCCCAGUAGUC
rnacentral:rRNA from 1 species